CCCUCGGGGUCUCUAGUGGGCUUCUGAAAAGUCUCAAUACAAAAAAAUCAAAUCUCCUGACUUGGCUGUGUACAAAGCUUCUCCUCCCUCAACCGCUGCAAUACAACUCUCAAAUGCUCGGCGUGCUACUCCUGGAUACGAGAGUUCAACAAGAUAUUAUUAAUGAAUAAAAUAACAAACGAGUUGAGAUAACGGUAAAAGAUGUUACUUAUAAAAUGCAUGAACAUUGUUGGGGCUUUGGUCAACCCAAAAGACAUAGAAGGAACUCAUAAAGACCAUAUUAGGUCGUGAAAGUUGUCUUAACAAUGUUUGACUCCCUAAUAUUCAUCUAGUGAUACUCAGACUUCAUAUCAAUCUUGGAGAACACACUCGCUCCCUGAAGUAGGUCAAAUAAAUCAUCAAUACGAGGCAAUUGAUACUUGUUCUUGAUUGUCAAUUUAUUCAACUGCAUGUAAUCAAUACAUAUUCUUAUAUUGCCAUCCUUCUUCUUCACCUAUAGAACAGGCGAACCCCAUGGUGACACAUUAGGCCGAAUAAACCCCAUAUCAAGGAGUUCUUGGAGUUGUUGCUUCACUUCCUUUAAAUUCGCCGGUGUUAUGCAAUACAAUAAAAUCAAAAUGGGCUGAGUGCUCAUCACCAAAUAAAUACGAAUUUAAUAUCCCUGUCUGGUGCCAUACCCGGCAGUUCUAUAGGAAAUAUAAUCGGAAAAUCUCUUAACACUGGAACUGAAUACAUAGUAGGUGUCUCUGCACUAACAUCCCUAGCAAAGGUCAAAUAAGAAAGACAACCCUUCCCGACCAUCCACUGGUCCUUCAAGUAUGGAAUUAAUCUACUGGGGACAUAAUCUGAUGAACCUCGACACUCAAUAUGUGGCACCCGACGCUACUAAUGUCAUCAUCUUAGUGUGACAGUUCAGAAUAGCAUCACGGAGAAAACCAAUCAAAGCCUAAUAUAACAUAAAAAUCAACAAUACUAAGCAACAAAAGGUCUAUUCGUAUCUCCAAACCUCUAAUGGUCACCACACAAGACCAAUAUACGCAGUCAACGUCAAUUUUAUGGCCUACAUUAGUAGAUACAUUAACAAAUAAAACAAGAGAUUCAUGUGGUGUAUCCAAAUAAUAAGAAAAAUAUGAUGACACAUGAAAAAAAGGAACCAAGAUCAAAUAAUACAGAGGCAUCCAUGUGGUAAAAUAAGACAAUACCUGUGGUCACAACAUCUGAAGAUAUAGCAUUUGCUCUAGCUAGGAGUGCAUAGGAAUGGGGUUGACCACCACCUGAUCUACCUCCCCCACUAGGAUGACCCCUAGCUGAUUGUCCUCCCCCCUAGCCGACUUUGCGAAUGGUGAAGUAAGUGGUGCUGUAGUCGGUGGAUGACUCCUCUACGGAGGUGGACCCCCAUAAUGACAAGGACUCUGCCUCCAUGUAUGUCCUAACUCCCCACACAAAAAACACCCCCCUGGUGCCGGUGCCAGGGAUUGAAGGGAUUACUCGUAGAAUACCUAUCAUGGAUGAGCCCUGAACUGAUUAAGUAUGAAAUGAACUAUUGACUGGGGGGCAAUUAAGUGAUGAAUGACCCUUUUGAGAACUAUGAGAAUUGUCACUCCUACUUUUUAAAACAAAAACUCGUGAAGGGCGUAGAAGGGAGUUCUUUCCAAUUAAAGGACAAUCGAAACGAGAUUUAUUUAUUUAGAGUUUUCAAAGUCGCCACUCGAGAUAAUUAAUGGAGUCCCAAGUCACCUAUUUAUAAUCCCGAAUCGAGGAAGGUUUGAUUCUGUAAUACAGUCUGCGAGCUAGAAAUCCAUGUAAGGAAUUCUGUUAAUCCGGAAGAAGUCGUUGGGCAUUUACAAAUUAUAUGGUUCUAACACGGCCGCUCAACUGCCAUAUUUGGCUUAAUUAUUUGAUUUAAUACAUACAUUUUUGCACAUGUUUUACCUUUAACCGCUUUUAUUCAUUUUUAAAGAAGAUUGCAACGUUAUUUAAAACGUUUCGGGCCACAUCACAUAAAUGCACUCGUAGCCCAUGACACAUUUUAUCUAACGUCAAGAUAUAGAUUCGGGUCACAUAAAUGUGCACCCGAAUUUUGGAAGGUGAAUUAAAAUAACGCACCUAAAGUAGCUAAACGUUUUUGACUUUGCGAGGGCCAUGAAAAUUUUCUGAAUGACAUGCCACGAGUUCUAAGGAUUUUAAAAGAAAUGAUUAAUGAGGGCCACGCAUAUAAAAAUUUUGCUAAGCAUGGCGCGCCUAAAUUUCAUUUUUAAAACGGAAAUAGCAUUUAAAUAAUUGAACUACGGAAAUGCAUAUCCACAACUAAUUUUAGGCUAUAUCAUCGCCAAGUCACGAGAUUGAUGUGGCUAAUUAAUUAGACAACACAAAAGUGAGCAAACCCAAUUUUUGGACUAACGACAGAAGUCCAGCUCCUACAUUUAAUAGAACCAAUUCGGAGCCCACUAUGCAUUUACCUGCAGAAUGACCAUUUGACCCAAACAACACUAAUUCUAUAGCUUGAUUCAACAUUCCUAAUACUAACUCAAUGCUUAACCCAUUCUACUCAAAUGACUUCAAGUUAAUCUGAAAAACAAACUUUGGCUUUGGCUGAUAUGAAAUCACUCUGGUAAUGUAAAUAUUAAUCAUCAAGUUGAGCAACAAAAAAAUGCUUGUUAUUGUUUUAGGUUUGCUCUACAAUGAUACAUGACAAUCUGAUUUAGGCAAAUACAAAGAUCUAUGCAUAUUUAACCAAGCAUGUCUUGUUUUCAAUCAAAGACAUAUACUUAAUUACAGUAGAGAUCAACAGAUUUGCACUAAUUAAAAUGACAGUCUUAAAAGAUCAAUUUUAGGAGCGAAAUGUUCAGUCCUUUUAACUAGACACAAGCUAGACCUUUAGGAACUAAAUGACAAGUUGAAAGCUGGAAAAGAAACAGAACUUGGACCAAAUUUGUAUAGUAACCUCACGAAAGAAAAUUGAUCAAACUAGGAACGGAUCCACUUUAGAAUUAUUACAUACGUAAACAACGAACAGAUGGUUUUACCCCUGUAGAUCCUUCAAAUAUAAGAUGUAGGCAAACUCAUAGCAACUCUUAAUAGCAUAAAUGAAGAUGAUAGAAUACAGAUGCACUAAACUACAGAACUCUUCAAAGAAACACAACUAGUAUUUGCUAUCGAGAAACUUAGUUCACAUCUUGAGCUUCCAAUGGAUUUUAUGACUUCAAAUUUAAAGGUCAUACAUUCAUGGAUAAGCCGUACCUGGAAAGAAGAAAGAAACAGAAUAGUGCAAAGUCAGCAACAGCAAACGAUGUCAGGAACGAUGCAACAGUGCUAACUGAAUGAAAUCAGAUCCAGCUCUAAACAAAUUCCACACAGACCCAGAUUCAAUUUCAAAUCUCGAACUCAAAUCAAAAUAGCAUUCUGAACACAAAUUGAGCUCAAAAUUAACUUCCAAAACCAAAUUAACCAUCCUAAACCCCAUUUACAACAAAAGCUACUCUACCGAUCAAUUUUAGAAAAGGAAGACCAAUGGAAUAGUAUUUGUUUUUUAAAGAACAUCAGCCGUCCUAUUUUCUGAUAUUUAUCUCCCAAUGUCUCUAUCUCUUAAUCUCUCAAAACUUGAAACUUCAAAAAACUUCUUUUGAGCAUCCUUCAAGUUU
rnacentral:lncRNA from 1 species